rfam:Euryarchaeota archaeon 13_1_20CM_4_64_14 13_1_20cm_4_scaffold_1788, whole genome shotgun sequence.
UUGGUGGUGACGGGGAGCCCAGAAGGGCUGAGAGUCUCCCGCGUGAGGGAGAGACCCUUGGAACCUGAUCCCGGUAAUGCGGGCGUAGGGAACGCGAGGACUUUUCAG